AUUGAACGCUGGCGGCAGGCCUAACACAUGCAAGUCGAACGAGAGGCGGACGGGUGAGGAAUGUCUGGGAAACUGCCCGUGGGAGGGGGAUAACUACUGGAAAAGGUAGCUAAUACUGCGUACCAUAGGGUGUGCCCACAUGGGAUUAGCGUGUAGGUGGGGUAACGGCUCACCGAGGCGCCGAUCCCUAGCUGGUCUGAGAGGAUGACAAGCAACACUGGAACUGAGACACGGUCCAGACGCCUACGGGAGGCAGCAGUGGGGAAUAGGGCACAAUGGGCGCAAGCCUGAUGCAGCCAUGCCGCGUGUAUGAAGAAGGCCUUCGGGUUGUAAAGUACUUUCAGCGAGGAGGCGUUACCCGCAGAAGAAGCACCGGCGAACGCCGUGCCAGCAGCCGCGGUAAUAC
rnacentral:rRNA from 1 species